AUGUCAGCUGUGUUGAGUUUUGCAUGUCAGAACAAGGAAGCUCAUGUGGUGGGCGUGGAAGAACUGGCCGCGCUUACGGAGAACAGCGGCAGACUGGCGGCCUUAGAGGUAGCGGAAGAUACCGGUCAGCCUGAGACGCCGGAGAACGAUGAUGACGAAGAGGUGGUGUUGCCGCACUCUGAAGCUGUGGACGUGUUCCAGGAGGGUCUCGCGAUGGUGGUGCAGGACCCGCUACUCUGCGAUCUACCGAUCCAAGUUACUUUGGAAGAGGUCAAUUCCCAAAUAGCACUAGAAUAUGGCCAAGCAAUGACAGUCCGAGUAUGCAAGAUGGAUGGAGAAGUGAUGCCUGUGGUUGUAGUGCAGAAUGCCACGGUCCUGGACCUGAAGAAGGCCAUCCAGAGAUAUGUGCAGCUCAAGCAGGAGCGGGAAGGGGGCGUUCAGCACAUCAGCUGGUCUUAUGUGUGGCGGACAUACCAUCUGACCUCUGCAGGAGAGAUGCUCACAGAAGACCGGAAGAAGCUCCGAGAUUAUGGUAUCCGGAAUCGGGCUGAGGUUUCCUUCAUCAAAAAGCUGAGGCAAAAGUGAACCUCCUGAUAAGGACAAUUCUACACACUGGUGGUUGAGCUUUUUUCAGUAGGAUGGUGCUCUCAAGUUGUCCCUCUUUCACAGAAAGGACAUUGAGGGACCUCAGCCCAGGUGUGGCCACCUGGGACUGUCAGCAUGAACCCUACAGCCCUGAGGACUAGGACAGGAUGAGCCAGUGCUCCCUUCCUAUCUAUUUGGCCUGAGCCUGAUAUCUCCUUGGGCCCAAAUACCCUAACCACACAGCCAGUCCUACAGACUGUGGGCCUGGCUCUGUGUACAGAAUAAAUCUGUUUGUUUCUUAGUC